rnacentral:tRNA from 1 species
GCCCGGGUGGUGAAAUAGGUAGACACAAGGGAUUUAAAAUCCCUCGCUGGCAACAGCGUGCCGGUUCAAGUCCGGCUCCGGGCA